GACGAACGCUGGCGGCGUGCUUAACACAUGCAAGUCGAACGCUGAAGCUCAGCUUUUGUUGGGUGGAUGAGUGGCGAACGGGUGAGUAACACGUGAGUAACCUGCCCCCUUCUUUGGGAUAACGCCCGGAAACGGGUGCUAAUACUGGAUAUUCACUGGUCUUCGCAUGUGGGUUGGUGGAAAUGGUUUUUCUGGUGGGGGAUGUGCUCGCGGCCUAUCAGCUUGUUGGUGGGGUGAUGGCCUACCAAGUCUUUGACGGGUAGCCGGCCUGGGAGGGGGACCGGGCACGUGGGGAGUGAGAUAGGGACUAAGAUACUACGGGAGGAAGCAGUGGAGAAAAUUGCACAAUGGGCGGAAGCAUGAUGCAGAGACGCAGCGUGAGGGGUGGCGGCCUUCGGGUUGUGAACCUCUUUCGCUAAUGGUCAAGCCGCAAAAAUGGUUGUAGUGAGGGUAGUGGGUAAAGAAGCGCCGGCUAACUACGUG
rnacentral:rRNA from 1 species